rnacentral:rRNA from 1 species
UAAAAAUAGUUAAGUGAAUAAGGGCGCACGGUGGAUGCCUUGGUACUAGGAGCCGAAGAAGGACGGGACUAACACCGAUAUGUCUCGG